GCAGCAAAAAACAAAGAACAUAAAUUCAAAGGCCUGCCACUUGCCAAUUCGUGCGCUAUAGGUAAGUAACUCAGGGAGGGCUUUAUGCUUGGCACACACAAAACAUAUUUACAAAGUCAAACUAGAAGGAAGGCCACUCGCUCAGUAUGGGAAGGCUCAGCGCUCGAAUGAUUGUGAAGGGUUUAUAGGCUUGAAUAAGAAUCGGUAUAGUUUUUACCAAACUUUGGGGCGCCACCAGAAACCAAGAUACCAGGAAAAAUGGUAUCGCCCAAAGGUGGUAGAUUCACC
rnacentral:lncRNA from 1 species